AUCCGGCUGAUGAAUCCGGAAUAGGACGAAAUCCGCGUCUUGGAU
rnacentral:hammerhead_ribozyme from 1 species